ACUUCGGUGGUGUAGUGGUCGGGACACUCGCCUGGUAAUCAGGAGGGCGUGGGUUCAAUCCCGUCCGAGGUG
rfam:Asian citrus Psyllid, Diaphorina citri - Florida Strain, whole genome shotgun sequence.